GCCCCCGUAGCUCAACGGUAGAGCACCUGAGCAGUAUUCAGGAAGACCUGGGUUCGAAUCCCGAGCGGGGGCUCCG
rnacentral:tRNA from 1 species